rnacentral:rRNA from 1 species
GAUGAACGCUGGCGGCGUGCCUAAUACAUGCAAGUCGAGCGAACAGACGAGGAGCUUGCUCCUCUGACGUUAGCGGCGGACGGGUGAGUAACACGUGGAUAACCUACCUAUAAGACUGGGAUAACUUCGGGAAACCGGAGCUAAUACCGGAUAAUAUAUUGAACCGCAUGGUUCAAUAGUGAAAGACGGUUUUGCUGUCACUUAUAGAUGGAUCCGCGCCGCAUUAGCUAGUUGGUAAGGUAACGGCUUACCAAGGCAACGAUGCGUAGCCGACCUGAGAGGGUGAUCGGCCACACUGGAACUGAGACACGGUCCCGACUCCUACGGGAGGCAGCAGUAGGGAAUCUUCCGCAAUGGGCGAAAGCCUGACGGAGCAACGCCGCGUGAGGGAUGAAGGUUUUCGGAUCGGAAAACUCUGUUAUUAGGGAAGAACAAAUGUGUAAGUAACUAUGCACGUCUUGACGGUACCUAAUCAGAAAGCCACGGCUAACUACGUG